rnacentral:rRNA from 1 species
AAUGAACGCUGGCGGCGUGCUUAACACAUGCAAGUCGAACGGACUUUCAGGGCUUGCUCUGAAAGUUAGUGGCGGACGGCUGAGUAACGCGUGGGUGACCUACCCCGAAGUGGGGAAUAACUGCCCGAAAGGGUGGCUAAUACCGCAUACGAUCGUUAAUUCAUUUUGAUGAUCAAAGCAGUAAUGCGCUUUGGGAGGGGCCUGCGUCCGAUUAGCUCGUUGGUGGGGUAAUGGCUCACCAAGGCGACGAUCGGUAGGUGGUCUGAGAGGACGAUCACCCAGACUGGGACUGAGACACGGCCCAGACUCCUACGGGAGGCAGCAGUCGGGAAUUAUGCUCAAUGGGCGAAAGCCUGAAGCAGCAACGCCGCGUGCGGGAUGAAGGCCUUCGGGUUGUAAACCGCUUUUCUUAGGGACGAUUAUGACGGUACCUAAGGAAUAAGCCACGGCUAACUACGUGCCAGCCGCCGCCGUAACAC